rnacentral:misc_RNA from 1 species
AACUUUCGACAACGGAUCUCUUGGUUCUCGCAUCGAUGAAGAACGCAGCGUAAUGCGAUAAGUAAUGUGAAUUGCAGAAUUCAGUGAAUCAUCGAAUCUUUGAACGCAACUUGCGCUCCUUGGUACUCUGAGGAGCAUGCCUGUCUGAGUGUCAUUAAAUUUCUUCUCAACCCAUUCAGUUUCUCUAGUGGUGGGUUUUGGAAAAUUGGGGUCCUGCUGGUUAACUAUUUGUCCAGCCAUCCUGAUAAGCAUUAGGGGCAUCUGGGCUGCUUGCAGGAGAGAUAACUUGUCUACAACUUUGCAGGGGCUCUAUUUGUGUUAGUUUAGAGGGCAUUAAUGAAAUUUGACCUCAAAUCAUGUAGGAUUACCGGCUGAACUUAAGCAUAUCAAUGAGCGGAGGCU